UACAGAGACCUCAAGCGUUAUCCGGAAUCAUUGGGCGUAAAGCGUACCGAUAGGUGGUUGACAAAGUCAGAAGUGAAAUCUCUCAGCUCAACUGGGAGACUGUCUUUUGAUACUUGUCAGCUAGAGGGGCAAAGAGGAAGCUGGAACGAACGGUGUAGUAGUGAAAUGCGUUGAUAUCGUUCGGAACACCAAUAGCGUAGGCAAGCUUCUGGGUGCCACCUGACACUGCUAGGACGAAAGCGUGGGGAGCGAAUGGG
rnacentral:rRNA from 1 species